rnacentral:ncRNA from 12 species
AUGACAUGUGCUGUGGUUGAAAGUCGAUGUCAGUCGCAGACCAAGCGAUCCACGUAAGGCAUCCAAAGCGAUGCUGAUCAUAGUGCGGCCUAGAAGUAAGACCUGCCGCGUAAAAAAACGCGAGAGGGCCAGUAGUGGGGGGACAAGACGUCUAUGAAGCGAACGUCCCMGCAGGCGAGUGUGGGGGUAAAGACCAGGUCAGGCAUGUCGG